rnacentral:tRNA from 1 species
GCCAGUGUGGCAUAGUGGUUUGAGUGUUGGACUAUGACUCUGGAGAUCACGGUUCAAUUCCCAGUUCAGCCA